rnacentral:misc_RNA from 1 species
UCCGAGUUGUCCCCGGCAGUCUCUUUAGAGUCCCCACCAUUACGUGCUGGGCCCUUACGGACACGGGCUUUCACCCGCUUUACCCAGCAUGUCAAGCCCAGGUAAGGUUCUUCGCGUUGCAUCGAAUUAAGCCACAUGCUCCGCCGCUUGUGCGGGCCCCCGUCAAUUCCUUUGAGUUUUAGCCUUGCGGCCGUACUCCCCAGGCGGGGUGCUUAAUGCGUUAGCUUCGGCACGGAACGGGUUGAAGACCACCCCACACCUAGCACCCAACGUUUACGGCUGGGACUAC